rnacentral:rRNA from 1 species
CGUAUGGUGCAAGCGUUAUCCGGAUUUACUGGGUGUAAAGGGUGCGUAGGUGGCAAGGCAAGUCUGAAGUGAAAAUCCGGGGCUCAACCCCGGAACUGCUUUGGAAACUGUUUAGCUGGAGUACAGGAGAGGUAAGUGGAAUUCCUAGUGUAGCGGUGAAAUGCGUAGAUAUUAGGAGGAACACCAGUGGCGAAGGCGACUUACUGGACUGCUACUGACACUGAGGCACGAAAGCGUGGGGAGCAA